CUACGGGGGGCACCAGUAGGGAAUCUUCGGCAAUGGGCGCAAGCCUGACCGAGCAACGCCGCGUGGAGGAUGAAGUUCGUAAGAAUGUAAACUUCUCUUCUGAGGGAAGAAUUUUGACGGUACCUCAGGAAUAAGCACCGGCUAACUCCGUGCCAGCAGCCGCGGUAAUACGGAGGGUGCAAGCGUUAUCCGGAAUCAUAGGGCGUAAAGCGUCCGCAGGCGGUGUGGUAAGUUGGAUGUUAAAGCUCUUGGCUCAACCAAGAAUUUGCGUCCAAAACUACCAUACUUGAGACUUGUAGGGGUGGGUGGAAUUCCACAUGUAGGGGUUAAAUCCGUUGAUAUGUGGAGGAACACCGAAAGCGAAAGCAGCCCACUGGGCAAGUUCUGACGCUCAUGGACGAAAGCGUGGGGAGCAAACAGGAUUAGAUACCCUAGUAGUC
rnacentral:rRNA from 1 species